rnacentral:pre_miRNA from 1 species
AAAGUACUCCCUCCGUCCCAAAAUUCUUGUCUUAGAUUUGUCUACAUACGGAUGUAUCAAGUCACAUUUUAGUAUUAGAUACAUCCGUAUCUAGACAAAUCUAAGACAAGAAAUUUGGGACAGAGGGAGUAGUUG